UUACUUCAUUUGCCGCAAAAACAGUCACGAUAGAAUCGUGCAGGCACGCUGGUGGCUAACAAAUAGACCGCGGACUGCUGGUAAAUAAAUAUUAGAAAGCGUGUUAGCAUUGUCAAAGUUGAUUUUAAACAUUUCAGACAUUAAAACUGGACCUACGUGAAGCCAGCGGGCUGAGGAAACCGCGAGUCAUCACUCGCUGACGCUGCCCAAAGACAAGUACCACCCGUAAACAUUAACACAUCUAAAGCUAACUGUUAGCAGACCGACACACGCCCCGGAGGACUGCUUUUAAAUAUUUACUGACAGCCUUUUCCUUUCGUGGCACAGCAUAACAGGAGACCUCCGGUGGAGCCAAGAUAUGCAGUCGUCAGAGCAGCACUGACAGGCCUAACUCUGGUUUGACACAACCAUGGAGUCCUCCUCCGAGUCCCAGCAGGAACCUGAGAAAACUUUGCAGCACGCAGAGUUGAGAGAGCAGCAUGCCACCUCCGGUAAGCCAGUGACCUUUCAGAGGAAGGGCUAAGGCCAGUGUACCCAGUCAGCAAACU